rnacentral:rRNA from 1 species
AGAGUUUGAUCCUGGCUCAGGACGAACGCUGGCGGCGUGCCUAAUACAUGCAAGUAGAACGCUGAAGAGAGGAGCUUGCUCUUCUUGGAUGAGUUGCGAACGGGUGAGUAACGCGUAGGUAACCUGCCUUGUAGCGGGGGAUAACUAUUGGAAACGAUAGCUAAUACCGCAUAACAAUGGAUGACACAUGUCAUUUAUUUGAAAGGGGCAAUUGCUCCACUACAAGAUGGACCUGCGUUGUAUUAGCUAGUAGGUGAGGUAAUGGCUCACCUAGGCGACGAUACAUAGCCGACCUGAGAGGGUGAUCGGCCACACUGGGACUGAGACACGGCCCAGACUCCUACGGGAGGCAGCAGUAGGGAAUCUUCGGCAAUGGGGGCAACCCUGACCGAGCAACGCCGCGUGAGUGAAGAAGGUUUUCGGAUCGUAAAGCUCUGUUGUAAGUCAAGAACGGGUGUGAGAGUGGAAAGUUCACACUGUGACGGUAGCUUACCAGAAAGGGACGGCUAACUACGUGCCAGCAGCCGCGGUAAUACGUAGGUCCCGAGCGUUGUCCGGAUUUAUUGGGCGUAAAGCGAGCGCAGGCGGUUUGAUAAGUCUGAAGUUAAAGGCUGUGGCUCAACCAUAGUUCGCUUUGGAAACUGUCAAACUUGAGUGCAGAAGGGGAGAGUGGAAUUCCAUGUGUAGCGGUGAAAUGCGUAGAUAUAUGGAGGAACACCGGUGGCGAAAGCGGCUCUCUGGUCUGUAACUGACGCUGAGGCUCGAAAGCGUGGGGAGCGAACAGGAUUAGAUACCCUGGUAGUCCACGCCGUAAACGGUGGAUGCUGGAUGUGGGGACCAUUCCACGGUCUCCGUGUCGGAGCCAACGCGUUAAGCAUCCCGCCUGGGGAGUACGGCCGCAAGGCUAAAACUCAAAGAAAUUGACGGGGGCCCGCACAAGCGGCGGAGCAUGCGGAUUAAUUCGAUGCAACGCGAAGAACCUUACCUGGGCUUGACAUGUUCCCGACAGCCGUAGAGAUACGGUCUCCCUUCGGGGCGGGUUCACAGGUGGUGCAUGGUCGUCGUCAGCUCGUGUCGUGAGAUGUUGGGUUAAGUCCCGCAACGAGCGCAACCCUCGCCCUGUGUUGCCAGCACGUCGUGGUGGGAACUCACGGGGGACCGCCGGGGUCAACUCGGAGGAAGGUGGGGAUGACGUCAGAUCAUCAUGCCCCUUACGUCCAGGGCUUCACGCAUGCUACAAUGGCCGGUACAACGGGAUGCGACACUGUGAGGUGGAGCGGAUCCCUUAAAACCGGUCUCAGUUCGGAUUGGAGUCUGCAACCCGACUCCAUGAAGGCGGAGUCGCUAGUAAUCGCGGAUCAGCAACGCCGCGGUGAAUGCGUUCCCGGGCCUUGUACACACCGCCCGUCAAGUCAUGAAAGUGGGUAGCACCCGAAGCCGGUGGCCCAACCUUUUUGGGGGGAGCCGUCUAAGGUGAGACUCGUGAUUGGGACUAAGUCGUAACAAGGUAGCCGUACCGGAAGGUGCGGCUG